rnacentral:rRNA from 1 species
GAUGAACGCUGGCGGCGUGCCUAAUACAUGCAAGUCGAACGCUGAAGGAGGAGCUUGCUCUUCUGGAUGAGUUGCGAACGGGUGAGUAACGCGUAGGUAACCUGCCUGGUAGCGGGGGAUAACUAUUGGAAACGAUAGCUAAUACCGCAUGACAACAGUUAUUGCAUGAUAACUGUUUAAAAGGGGCAACUGCUCCACUACCAGAUGGACCUGCGUUGUAUUAGCUAGUUGGUGAGGUAACGGCUCACCAAGGCGACGAUACAUAGCCGACCUGAGAGGGUGAGCGGCCACACUGGGACGGAGACACGGCCCAGACUCCUACGGGAGGCAGCAGUAGGGAAUCUUCGGCAAUGGACGGAAGUCUGACCGAGCAACGCCGCGUGAGGGAAGAAGGGUGUCGGGUCGUAAAGCUCGGUUGUAAGAGAAGAACGAGUGUGAGAGUGGAAAGUUCACACUGUGACGGUAUCUUACCAGAAAGGGACGGCUAACUACGUG